AGUAUUAUGUCUGACAAAAGUAAUAAACUGUAAAUUUAUUCAUAAGAAUUAUCUUUAAUACUA
rnacentral:tRNA from 1 species